GAUGAAGAACGCAGCGAAAUGCGAUAAGUAGUGUGAAUUGCAGAAUUCAGUGAAUCAUCGAAUCUUUGAACGCACAUUGCGCCCCUUGGUAUCCCGAGGGGCAUGCCUGUUCGAGCGUCAUUUCACCACUCAAGCCUGGCUUGGUGUUGGGCGACGUCCUCUUUGGGGACGCGCCUCGAAACGCUCGGCGGCUUGGCACCGGCUUUAAGCGUAGCAGAAUCUUUCGCUUUGGAAGUCGGGGCCCCGUCUGCCGGAAGACCUGCUCGCAAGGUUGACCUCGGAUCAGGCAGGGAUACCCGCUGAACUUAAGCAUAUCAAUAAGCGGAGGA
rnacentral:misc_RNA from 1 species